rnacentral:lncRNA from 1 species
CAUAUUUCAUUAUAAAAUGUAAGAAAAGAUUUCUCCAAAUGUUGGUAGUUGAGAAUUCCUAGUGUAUAGGGUGACAGUCAUAUAAUUCUGAAAAUCUUUGGCAAUUGUUCUCUGUCUGUGAACAUUCACAUACCUCAUGCUGUUGCCAGAAUCAUAAAUUCUUUGAACCAGAAGCAAAUGAAUUUUAGAAAAUGAAGUAUAAAUUAGGGACAAACGGAGUUAGAGAAACCUAUUAUUGUUAUAGGAUUGUUUAUAGCUAACUUUCCCUUAAAGUUUUAGCACUUGUGUGAGGACUUUAUCUAAACAAUCUUCUAAGCUCUCUUGAAAUUUUAGCUAAGGAGUAUUAUUGGUGACCUUGGAGAAUCUGAGCUCUAAACUGUGAAACAGGGCACACUGUCUCCAAAUCAGAGGCUCAGAAGAACAGUGACUCCUGAAAGGAGGGCAAGGCAUUUUCUUCCUCCUCACUGCCUCUUAACCUCCCGUCCUCCAGGAGGAGUUCUGAGACUGUCGAUAGUCAUCAUAGCUCAUGGGUCCAAACCUUCCUACUGCAAAGAAUUCUCAUUAUUUCAAGGGCUUUUUAAUCACUAAACAGUAGAAGACAAUUACUGUAUAGAUCGGUUUAAUUAGUUUAUUUGAUGCCCAGAGCAUGUAAAUUUGCAACCAGGUAGCUUCUGCCAGCUAUAGAAUCAUAAAUUAAUGGCAGUGUUCUGGAUGAGAAAGAUGAUGCUCUGCGCAUGCUAACCCCUUAGAAUGAUUUUAAU